rnacentral:rRNA from 1 species
AUGAACGCUGGCGGCGUGCCUAAUACAUGCAAGUCGAGCGAACGGACGAGAAGCUUGCUUCUCUGAUGUUAGCGGCGGACGGGUGAGUACCACGUGGAUAACCUACCUAUAAGACUGGGAUAACUUCGGGAAACCGGAGCUAAUACCGGAUAAUAUUUUGAACCGCAUGGUUCAAAAGUGAAAGACGGUCUUGCUGUCACUGAUAGAUGGAUCCGCGCUGCAUUAGCUAGUUGGUAAGGUAACGGCUUACCAAGGCAACGAUGCAUAGCCGACCUGAGAGGGUGAUCGGCCACACUGGAACUGAGACACGGUCCAGACUCCUACGGGAGGCAGCAGUAGGGAAUCUUCCGCAAUGGGCGAAAGCCUGACGGAGCAACGCCGCGUGAGUGAUGAAGGUCUUCGGAUCGUAAAACUCUGUUAUUAGGGAAGAACAUAUGUGUAAGUAACUGUGCACAUCUUGACGGUACCUAAUCAGAAAGCCACGGCUAACUACGUG